GUGGUUUAUACUUUCCAACGUUUUGGACGAUUUUAUGAAGAAGAAAAAAAUGUUUUUCGACCAAAGAAGGGAGCGUGAGUAAGAGAUAAACUAGACGUAGUAUAAAAGUGUCCUGACAGCCAAAAAUAUCUAGCAUAACAAGUCCAUGGUUACAAAAUUUGUCCAUUGCGUUUUUAUUAAAUAAGAAAAUGUUUGAUAAAAGAAGUCAUUUACAUGUAAACAACAAAAAUUUUAAUUUGUGUGCUGUAAUUUUGUUGAACAGUAGUACACUAAUCUUUAAAUAAAAUGUAUGUGCCCAGAUUCAUGAUCAGGUCAUUGAUAUUUCUUGGUAAACACGUCCAUGUUCUUUGUUUUACUAGUAAAUUAUUUAAAUGUAUCAAUUGGAUUUUUAAAUUCUUGUAUGAUUUAAAAAAAAAACAAUUGUGCAUUAACAAUUCAUUUUAUCAAAAUAUGGGUUUUGUUGUUGUUUUUUUUUUGUUUUUUUUUUUUUAUAUAAAACAGAGUUUUUAUUUUCCUAGCAAAAUUGAUAUCACAGACUUUUAUGACUUGUUUGCUUAAUGCCCAGUGACAAAUAUUUCAUACAUAUGCAGGACGAGAAAAAAUAUAUUUGGUGACACGAAUUAUUCUUUUCCAUUAGUUG
rnacentral:lncRNA from 1 species